UGGGGAAUAUUCCGCAAUGGCCGAAAGUCUGACGGAGCAACGCCGCGUGAGUGAUGAAGGUUUUCGGACUGUAAAGCUCUGUUGUUUAGGACGAAAGUGCCUGUUGCGAACAGUUACAGGUAUUGACGGUACUAAACGAGGAAGCCACGGCUAACUACGUGCCAGCAGCCGCGGUAAUACGUAGGUGGCAAGCGUUGUCCGGAAUUAUUGGGCGUAAAGAGCAUGUAGGCGGAGAUUUAAGUCUGUUGUGAAAAUGCGGGGCUCAACCCCGUAUUGCGAUGGAAACUGAAUUUCUUGAGUGCAGGAGAGGAAAGGGGAAUUCCCAGUGUAGCGGUGAAAUGCGUAGAUAUUGGGAGGAACACCAGUGGCGAAGGCGCCUUUCUGGACUGUGUCUGACGCUGAGAUGCGAAAGCCAGGGGAGCGAACG
rnacentral:rRNA from 1 species